rnacentral:rRNA from 1 species
GAGUUUGAUCGUGGCUCAGAUUGAACGCUGGCGGCAUGCCUUACACAUGCAAGUCGAACGGCAGCAUGAUCUAGCUUGCUAGAUUGAUGGCGAGUGGCGAACGGGUGAGUAAUACAUCGGAACAUGCCCUGUAGUGGGGGAUAACUAGUCGAAAGAUUAGCUAAUACCGCAUACGACCUGAGGGUGAAAGUGGGGGACCGCAAGGCCUCAUGCUAUAGGAGCGGCCGAUGUCUGAUUAGCUAGUUGGUGGGGUAAAGGCCCACCAAGGCGACGAUCAGUAGCUGGUCUGAGAGGACGAUCAGCCACACUGGGACUGAGACACGGCCCAGACUCCUACGGGAGGCAGCAGUGGGGAAUUUUGGACAAUGGGCGAAAGCCUGAUCCAGCAAUGCCGCGUGUGUGAAGAAGGCCU